UCGCCUGUAAAGCCGACGCCUGCUGCUGUCCUCCUCAGGUGCAGUUUGCUCAGGUUUUACCUCCACAGUCGUCUGAUGUGGUUCGUUUCCAGGAUCUGAACAGAUCAGAGAUACCCGUGACCAGCAGCUCUUUCAUUCAUCAACAUCCUGCAGACGUUCCUCCACAAUACACUGAAAGCAAAUAUGAAUAAGUGUUCCCUCAAAAAAAAAAGGGAACAUACAGGACAUGUUCAAAAAAUUUCCAUACAUGGGAAUCUAUACUGAAGUAUAUUCAUGGACCAUGUAUGAAUAUAAUUUGAGGAAUUUAAAAGUACAUGUCAAACCUGUAGUACAUUUUUACAAGAAACAGCUUAAUUGAAAAACUAAAUUUCUCCUUGUUUUAUAUAGCUGAAAACAUUCAUAAACAUUUCUAUCACUUUGUAAUAUAUCACUAUAAUAUAUAUUUUUUUUCUAGGCUGUAUGUGUAUACACUUCAAACUAUCAUACUGUAUCAAAUCUACAUAUUAUAAAUACAUUAUAUAAGUAAAUAUAUAUUUGCUCGUCCUGCUCUGAUACACAUUAAAGGGAUAGUUCACCCAAAAAGGACAUUAAUUACUCGUCUUCAU